GCCAAACCCAACUAUCUUGUUGGUCCUCCAACUCCUUCAGACAAUCCUCCUCGAGAGCAACCUGUGGAUCAUCAAAUUGCUAGAAACAUUGGUGCAGGUCACUGUUCCACUGUUUGUAGUGUUCGGAGAAGAGCCGAUUGAGGUACGCCAACAUGUCAUCGUCCAUGUCCUCCAAAUUGUAGUUUGUCUGUAACGUAACAAAUAUUUUGAAAGUAUUAGUAAUAAAAGACAGUAAUAAAUAUAAAUAUAUAAAUUUUACAUGAAAAGCAUUAAAAAGGCGACGCUACUUACAGAUAAUUGGUUACACACCAUGUUCUUCGUCUCCUCCAACAUCGCCUUCCAAGACUUCCACCACAUAGGGCAAAAGGUCCGCACGACAUGCCUAAUGUCGUGGGCCAAUGCACUAUGCUGCUCCGCCGUUGGUGCUGCCCAAUGUCGCUCAUGGUAUCCGAUUGGGAUACGACCGUUGGUCACCCUGUUGACCUUUGUCAUCUUCAAUUGCCAACAAGGUCUUCAGGUGUUUUUCUUUGUUGCAAAGAGAUGAAAAAAAAUCAUUAACCCAAAACUAAUAGCAAAUCCUACUAAAAUUUUGGCAUAACCUCCCCUAUAAUUAAAACAUUUCCCAAAACCUUGAAAAUAACAAAAACAAUAUACGUAUCCAACACAAUGAUCACAAUUGUUUAAUAAAAGGUUUGGAACGAUGACAACUUUUUAAUCCUUACAUGACAUAACUUAACAAAUUCAACCUAAAAUAACAAAACUGAUUAGUUAACAUUCACAUACAUUUUCUUCCUCUAUUUCUCCUGAAAGUUACUUAUUGAGCAUCACAUCUACUUCUCUGUUUGAGGCCACUAUUUCCUUUCUCCUAAUUAGAACAUAUUUCCAAUUCGAGCGUUUUCAAAUACCACAACAAACUUCUAAAAUGGCAACAACUGCCAUCCAAGACGGACAAUUUUCAAGCUUGUAUACACAGGCUCUCGACAUUGCUGGCAACAUGCUUGGCAAAGAAUUCUAAGCUGCCGUAGCAAACAAUUCCAUAUAACCUUAUCCACAUUGACAUUUGUAAGACUCUAACAGUCACUACCGAAACUUGUACAACUCUAAAAACUUUGCUUCAUGAUAAUUACCAAGUUUUUUAUUUCCCAGUUAAACAUUUUCGCCAUUUCCUCAUCAUCAAAUCUCUUCCACAACACUACUGUUUCAAUUCCGUGAGAAACCCAUUUCAGUAACUAAGAAAUGACACAUAAAUUAACAAAAAAAUUGCAAAAACAUAAAAUUAACAGACAUGAAUUACGGAAUACGCACAAUUUCGAUUUCAUGACAAAACCCAUUUUUGAAAGUGAAGAAAUUGAGAACAAAAAAAA
rnacentral:lncRNA from 1 species